rnacentral:lncRNA from 1 species
UUCUGGUUCAUUUAAGAAUUGAAUGCUUUUUUUUGUUAGUUCAUUGAGGUGUAAAGCGUUGACCGAAAUACAUUUUGUAUGAAACGCGGAAGCGCUUCAUUCUGAAAAUGUGCGCACGGUCAACGCUUUUACAACCCUAUGAAGUUACAAAAAGAAGCAUUCAAUAUUUAUAAUUACAUUUUUUAGCUAGGAUCAUGAAAACACGAUUUUUAUCAAGUUUUUAUUAAAUUCACCUUUGCACUUUAUUGUGGGACCUCGUGUCAUCAUGAAUGAUGAAUUUCAUUGUGUAAUGC